rnacentral:rRNA from 1 species
GAUGAACGCUGGCGGCGUGCCUAAUACAUGCAAGUCGAGCGAACAGACGAGGAGCUUGCUCCUCUGACGUUAGCGGCGGACGGGUGAGUAACACGUGGAUAACCUACCUAUAAGACUGGGAUAACUUCGGGAAACCGGAGCUAAUACCGGAUAAUAUAUUGAACCGCAUGGUUCAAUAGUGAAAGACGGUUUUGCUGUCACUUAUAGAUGGAUCCGCGCCGCAUUAGCUAGUUGGUAAGGUAACAGCUUACCAAGGCAACGAUGCGUAGCCGACCUGAGAGGGUGAUAGGCCACCCUGGAACUGAGACAGGGUCCAGACUCCUAAGGGAGGCAGCAGAAGGGAAUCGGAGGCAGUGGGCGAAAGCCUGACGGAGCAACGCCGCGUGAGUGAUGAAGGUCUUCGGAUCGUAAAACUCUGUUAUUAGGGAAGAACAAAUGUGUAAGUAAAUAUGCACGUCGUGACGGUACCUAAUCAGAAAGCCACGGCUAACUACGUG